rnacentral:lncRNA from 1 species
CCGGCAGCAGGAGGAGGAGGAGGAGGAGGAGGAGGAAGAAGAGGAGGAGGAGACGGCCUUCUUCCCUCCCGCCGCCCAGCGCGGAGGCAGGUUGAGCCGCGGCGAGGCUGGGAGGCCGGCGGCGGAGGCUCGGCGGAGUCCCGGGAGCCGAGGAGGGCUCGGAGCAGCGAGCGGCUCGGCGGCGGGGCAGGUGGCGGCAGCCGAGCGGCGCUCCAGGACUGAGAGCGGAGGCCGGGAGGAGGAGCCCGGCCUCGGCGCCUCCCCGAGCCGGCCCCCCCGGGGAGGAGAGGGGUGGGUUCGGCUCCCAGACCCCCCAGGCCGGGCGGGGAGGUGCUGCCGAGCUGUCAUCCACAAGGACCAGAAUGAAGAGCAGGGAAAGGCUGAGCCAGAGAUAACAGAAGGAAAGCACAAGGUCUUUGUGGCUGAAAAUUCAGGCAGUCACCAGGAGGAGCCCUGAUGUUAGUGGGAGUACUUGAGCCUUGGGACUCAGGGAACAUGAGUUCUUUGUUCGGUUCAGAAGAAAAGAUGAAUAAGAAGGGGCAGGAUGGAAGUAUAGAAAGCAAUGAAUGCUGGAGAAAAGGUAAAUCAGUUAUGCCUACUUACUGUAGUACAAACAUGUAAGAUAAUAGGAUAUUGGGAAUGUGUCUGUCAAAGCAAAGGAGCCAGGGAGAAAGGGCAAAUACAAGUGCGAGUUACCUAUUUUCUGAGUUCAAUGUCCAAAGCAGGCAUUCAUGAACAAGCCUAGACUGUUAUUUUUAAGGUCCGCAAUACAGUUGUUGAAUUCCACAUUGAUUCCAGGGCAGAGGUGACUGAGAUUUGUAAAGGUACAAAAGUGCACUGGCUCAAGGUGACAAAUCAGUUGUCUAGAUCCAUUCAAAGCCCAUACAUGCUACAAAAGCAAAGAGGAUAUGAGUGAUGUCUUUGUAACCUGGUAAUCCAAGGCCAGCUCUGGCAGUGCACAGGAAAGUCCCUGGGCCUUAGCUUGGUGAGAAGCGUGUUAUUCAAGGGGGCUGCUGUGGAAGAUGGAAACCCACUCUGUGCAGCCCACAGUCCCAUGGGUCUGCACAAAACUCUGUUCUUGGGUGGAAAAGAAAAAGGUGCCUAACUGUGCAAGAGGGAGAGAAGGAAAAUGAGCAUCAAGACUGCUUACCUGGGCUUGGGCUCCAUGUGUCCCACUUAAUGUGUCAAUAUAGCCCUCACGAGGUGCAGCCCACAGCUUCCCCAAAGUCCUUGUCCAGCUUGGCAAUGGCAGGUGACAAAGUGCAUAGGGCUGGUUGGGAGUUACUUCUCCUGCAGACACUUGGUCAGCAGGAAAGUGUGUGAGGUGCUGCCCAGAGGGCCUAAAGGGAGUAAGAGUUUAUGGAGAUGACAUUUCAGUUUAUGGGAAGCAUUAGGAAUGGUAUUAUGCAAUCACUUCUGGACAUUAUCUUAAAGGCUUCUGGACUCCUACUAAGUGUAGAAAAAUACAUUGUUAGAAGUACAGCUGUGGCAUUUAAGCUAUUUCACUGCUGAAAAAGAGUGGAAAACAGAUCAACACAGACAUUGUUUUUUGUAAACCUUGACCCAAGCUUAUAGGAUGUUCUUGAAAUGGACACACACAGAUGCGAAAGAGCACAGAAAUGAUGCUACUUGGCAGCUUUGAUUGGAAUAAAUCACAAUCAGUAGCGUACCCUCUCGUAAGA